GCGUGAGGUUGCCUUAGGGCUUCGAAGUUCUAUGAUGGCAAUUGUUACCUGCUUGAUUGGAUUGCAAUUCGGGCACGUCAUCAUACACUUUAAGGAUCACAAGGAGAGGAUUGUGC